GGGUUGUGAGGUUAAGCGACUAAGCGUACACGGUGGAUGCCCUGGCAGUCAGAGGCGAUGAAGGACGUGCUAAUCUGCGAUAAGCGUCGGUAAGGUGAUAUGAACCGUUAUAACCGGCGAUUUCCGAAUGGGGAAACCCAGUGUGAUUCGUCACACUAUCAUUAACUGAAUCCAUAGGUUAAUGAGGCGAACCGGGGGAACUGAAACAUCUAAGUACCCCGAGGAAAAGAAAUCAACCGAGAUUCCCCCAGUAGCGGCGAGCGAACGGGGAGGAGCCCAGAGCCUGAAUCAGUGUGUGUGUUAGUGGAAU
rnacentral:rRNA from 1 species